CGUUGAUCCCCACGGGAACACCAGUGGCGAAGGCGGUUCACUGGUAGAAGACUGACGCUGAGACACGAAAGCUAGGGUAUCGAAGCAGAUUAGAGACCUGCGUAGUCCUAGCCGUAAACGCAUGCUUGCUAGCUGCAUUUCCGCCCCUUCGGGGGUUAGGUGUGGCGAAGGUAACCCGUUAAGCAAGCCGCCUGGGGAUUACGGUCGCAAGACUAAAACUCAAAGGAAUUGGCGGGGAGGCACACAACCAGUGGAACAUGUGGUUUAAUUCGAAACAAACCGAAGAACCUCACCUGGGUUUGACAUGUAGCUGCUCAUCCUAUGAAAGUAGGACUCCUUCGAGGGUGCUACACAGGUGCUGCAUGGCUGUCGUCAGUUCGUUCCGUGAGGAGUGCCACUUAAGUGGGACAACGAACGCAACCCCCAUCGUAUGUUAUAUCUGUCAUACGAAACUGCCUUGCCGUUGGCGAGGAGGAAGGAGGGGCAGACGUCAAGUCUGCAUGGUCCUUAUGCCCAGGGCUACACACAUGUUACAAUGAGAAGGAACAAUGAGCAUUGCGAACUCGCGAGGGUAAGCAAAUCUCAGAAAUCUUCUCUCAGUGGGGAUUGGAGUCUGUAAUUCGACUCCAUGAACGCGGAAUUGGUAGUAAUCGCGGGUCAGCUAUACCGCGGUGAAUACGUUCUUGCCUCUUGCACACACCGCCACGUCAAGCCAACCAAAGUCAGGG
rnacentral:rRNA from 1 species